ensembl:lncRNA
GAAACAAUUUGAUAUAUGUAAGCAUUUCAACGUAGACUCACUUUCUAUAACUGAAGCUGUCACUGAUGGAUCUCAAAAGACAAAAAAACACAGGAUUAUUUUGAGUUCAUCCAUAAAAGAGAAAAGAACAUUUGGUGGUUCCCUCACAUUAUCACUUAUUGUACUCAACAGCUCUUAAUAGCUUUACAACAACAAUAACAACAACAACAAUGACAACAACAGUAAUAUUAGUAAUACAGCAGAUGUUUGUUAACAUUUGUAAACAACUAUUUUGAAAGAAAAACUCACUGAGAAGCAGACCAGUCCACACUGUAAAUACCUACAAUUGAAAAAUAAACAAACAGGAUUUGACAUAAAUGCAAGAGAAAGACAUACUCCCACUCUUUAACCUUAUGAAGAGGCAUAUCCAAAAUAGGGUUAUACUCACAAAAUAUACAGCUUGAGGAAUCAUGUCUACCCAGGUCUUUCUGAUGGUGAGAGAAGUCAUCCACUGGUGUAAGAUGUAUAAAAUCAGUUUGAUUCCAUAUACUUUAGAUGGCAAGCCACCUCCACUGUAAGCCUGGUAUCCUUUUCACAUGGAUCAUUUAAUUCUUCAAACUACACAUUAUUUGUUGCUAUGACUAGUUUCGCCACUAGUAGAAUUUCUAUUAAAACUGUCAUUAGUACUGUGGAUCAGAGUUAACUACUAUUAUCUUUUCUAUCGAUCUAUUGUUAUUAUACUCACCAAUGGAAGAGAGACUACCUCCUUACUAUGGUUACCACAGAGAGAGAGAAGAGAAGGUGGCUUCCCCCAAAAUACUAUGCUUUAAGGAAAACUAGACACUGUAUCUGACCCCAGGCCACAGCUCAUCACCAUUCUACACUCAAGUGGAGUUGAGAAGGUGGACACAGAGCCCAGAGGGUGGAUAUGUGACUCUGGACUAUACAUUUGCUGUGUCUGUGUAUUGAAUGACAGAAUUAUACAAUUGGCACAAGGAGAACAACAUGAUGCAUGAAGACAUAUCCACGUAAUGGAUCCCAUUUACCUGCUUCCUGACUGGUCAAAGCAAUCCAACUGCUCAUCUUUAAUAUAGCUCACUGCCACGUCAGGCCGAGGACAAUGCACCUGUCACACACACACCAACAACACACUGACUGCAGCUUGAGGGGGGACACAGACGUACACAGGAUAGGUUAAGGUGCGUCUCAGGUCACUGGCAGAAUCCACCUCUUUCAGCAGGACAGCAAAGGUCAAUUGUCAAACACUAGAACAAUGGGAGGAUGGAGUGUCAGCUAUUGAAAACUUGAUAGGCUACUCACUACUUCAGCACACACACACACACACACACACACACAAGAGAAAAUGAAUGCAAACACAUGCACACUUGAAACUUGAAAACAAACAUAGACUCAGACCCCUCACACCUCUUACUGCUGUACCACAAAUACACAGACCUAUAGCAUUCUAAAUGAUCCUUUGACUCAAAUACGUUCCAGUAAAAAAUGAUCACAGUUUAAUUAAUGCCAGAACCUUUUAUCUGAUAUGUAGCUUUAGGAUCAACAUCCAUUUUAAGGCUUGCCUUAAGAUUUUUUUCACUGUAAUUCUAUGGAGUGUGUUUUGUGAUUGCUUGUUUCUCCUAUAGCAUCUGUUCUGAGACUCACAUAAAUACAUCUUCAGGUAAAUGUCUACAAAAACUUGUAGACCACUUCAUGGUCUUUAUCUUAUUUCUCUAAAUGCCUAGAUUCAUUCCUAAAUUCAUCCACUUGGUGUAUGUGUGCGUACACAUCUGUGAGUCAAACCAAUACAUGCUUUACAGUUGCACUUAUAAAACAGUCUUGGAUCUUUCCUCCUCCUCCCCCAAGUACUAUUUACAGCAGACUUGUGUAAAACUUGCGUAACCGUGCACAUUUCUAGCAGCUCUAGCUUACAGAUAGAAAAAAGGAGUCGAUGUGUUACACACAAACGUUGUCUGACCCACUUCUCUGGUAGGAUGUAAUAUUUAUUGCAGGAUGAGACAUUAGCACACAGACUUUCCUCUGUGUGAGAGACAAUGUAACCAUAGGUGACAACACACACAGAACUGAGGAUCCAGCUGUGGGGUUCUCUUUAGAUGGGACAAGAUUAUUGAAUUAACAUGAAGACCAGUAACCUACUGCAAGUGGCCAUUUAACCCUUCAUUUGACUCUUCAGGAGAGUUCUGACUGAACCUUGAAUAAGCGUUCAACUGUUUACUGUUCAAUUUAUUUGCAUUAUUUAUAGCAAAACCUUCGCCAGAAAAAGCCUUCAGGACAUUAUCUGAAAUGGAAGGCUGGGGACUGAGUGCUGAUCUGCCUGGCAGUGAUUCUUUCCUCCAGGCAGCUCAUCAAUGAUUCUAAUGGCCUAAAUUAGCGGGCACUUUAAAGAAUUUAAACAUGCCGAGUCAAUUGAAAGCC